AGAGUUUGAUUCUGGCUCAGGAUGAACGCUGGCGGUCUUCUUAACACAUGCAAGUCGAACGGACGUAGAAAUACGUUAGUGGCGGACGGGUGAGUAACACGUGAGAAUCUGCCAAAAGGACGGGGAUAACAGAGGGAAACCGCUGCUAAUACCGGAUAAACCUUCGGGGGAAAGAUUAAUUGCCUUUUGAUGAGCUCGCGGCCGAUUAGCUAGUUGGUAAGGUAAAGGCUUACCAAGGCGACGAUCGGUAGCCGGUCUGAGAGGACGAUCGGCCACACUGGGACUGAGACACGGCCCAGACUCCUACGGGAGGCAGCAGUGGGGAAUUUUCCGCAAUGGGCGAAAGCCUGACGGAGCAAGACCGCGUGAGGGAGGAAGGCUCUUGGGUUGUAAACCUCUUUUCUCAGGGAAGAAGUCAGUGACGGUACCUGAGGAAUCAGCAUCGGCUAACUCCGUGCCAGCAGCCGCGGUAAUACGGAGGAUGCAAGCGUUAUCCGGAAUGAUUGGGCGUAAAGAGUCCGUAGGUGGCACUUCAAGUCUGUUGUCAAAGGUCACGGCUUAACUGUGGAAAGGCAGUGGAAACUGAAGAGCUAGAGAAUGGUAGGGGCAGAGGGAAUUCCCGGUGUAGCGGUGAAAUGCGUAGAGAUCGGGAAGAACACCAGUGGCGAAAGCGCUCUGCUGGACCAUAACUGACACUGAGGGACGAAAGCUAGGGGAGCGAAUGGGAUUAGAUACCCCAGUAGUCCUAGCCGUAAACGAUGGAUACUAGGCGUUGGUAGUAUCGACCCUACCAGUGCCGCAGCUAACGCGCUAAGUAUCCCGCCUGGGGAGUACGCACGCAAGUGUGAAACUCAAAGGAAUUGACGG
rnacentral:rRNA from 1 species